UACGUAGGGGGCUAGCGUUGUCCGGAUGUAUUGGGCGUAAAGAGCGUGUAGGCGGCCAGGUAGGUCUGCUGUGAAAACUCGAGGCUCAACCUCGAGAUGUCGGCGGAAACCAUCUGGCUAGAGUCCGGAAGAGGAGAGUGGAAUUCCUGGUGUAGCGGUGAAAUGCGCAGAUAUCAGGAAGAACACCCGUGGCGAAGGCGGCUCUCUGGGACGGUACUGACGCUGAGACGCGAAAGCGUGGGGAGCGAACAGG
rnacentral:rRNA from 1 species